CUGCCCGUAGGGUGACAAUGUGGAUGGCACUCUGUGCUGCCACCAUGUGCUGUGGGGACUGCAGGCCCAGAGCCCUGCUCUGCUGCGGCCCCCUCCAGCUCAGGCGCUGUUCCAGGACAGAUCCCAAGUGGACACAAACCUGCCUGCAUCCCAUAUCUGUCCCCAAAUCCAGUCCAACAACCCUGCCUGAAUGACGGCCCCUACGGGAGACGAUGUCACCCAGGGACAGGCCCAGUGGACAGCCAUGGGUAGACUCCUGCUCUUAUGAUGGCUGCACCAAGAACGAAGGUGCUCCUCGCAGAAGGCAGACACCAGUGAGAUGGACCUGCUGAGUCUGGCUUGAGCAGCUUUCCAGCUGAGCAUCUAAAAUGCCACUUUGCUUCACCUGCUUUUAGCUUUUCCUCUGAGACUUUUCACACUAUCUAGUCAUAGUUCAUCACUGAACUACUCUGGGUACUUAUCCUUGGAUAUCUGAAUAAUAGCAAUGCUCCAUCAGAUGUCUUUUUAAGCCACAUGCUAGUAUAACCUCUCUUUUGCAAACCAAGUCAACUAUUUGUUAUCAUGUCUGAGAAGCAAAAUAGGCUUUUGGAAACAAUGAAGCAAAUAAUUAAGGAUUAAUAAACUAAGGAUAUGUGUGCUAAUAUAAAAUACUUAUUUACAGUUUCUCAUGACCUUAUAUUAAUUGAAUGAAUUUCAUUCACAGUCUCAUAUACCAUGAUGAUUUUUGAUACUGCUACUUUAAUUAGGUUGGAACAAAAUUAAAAUAUAGUGUCAGUUUGGAAAAAGUAGGAAAUACUAAAGUGGACAUUUCAAAAGGAACAAAAAUACUGCAGGUGCUACAACCCUAAAAUUUUCAUCCAUCUAGGAGUAUUUUUUUGUGUAAACUCUCUUUGAAGCAAAGAAAUUGUACUAUUUUGCCUCUGAAAUAGAGCAAUGUCUCUCAUUGACUCUUAACUCCACAAAUAAAAUAAAAGUACAAAUAAUGCACUUGUUUAAAAAACCAGACUGUUGUAAAUAUUCAGUAGAAUAUUUAAACAGUGUUCAUGUUUAAUCCUUAAAGAGAAGGCUGAACCAAUAUAAUGUGGUAAUGAACUGAUAAACAACUCACACACUUUAAAAAAAAUUCCAUGUGGUCAGCUCUGAAACUUAUGUGUCAGAGGGACACAUUUCCAAUUAACAAAAUUGAUAAAAAGAGCCCAAAAUUUUCAAAGCUUUAUCACAGAUAGUGUAAGAACAUUUAAGAACUAAAAAUGUUACCUUGAUAAAUUACCCAAAGAAGAGACUAGUCAGUUAAAUUAUCAGUCAUAAAGAUAAAUAUUAGCAGAAGGAGGUUCUUAGAAUAUCUGCCUCAUGUAUUUGUGAUUUUUAUUUUUAAAGUUUGCAUGUAUGUAUAAAAAUAUUAUUACUUUUGGAAAGCAUUUUAUUUUUUUUAAUCGAAUGUUUUUGUACUUAUGGUUUAUGAAAUCUCCAUAAAAGUAUAGAAUCAGUAAAUGAAUUUGUUUGAAAUUUGUCAUUUUGGAAAAUUUAGAAGAAAGCUCUAAGGUUAUCAAAUAUGACAAAUUUUGUUCUUAUUCUAAGAAAUAACACUAUGAAUCCAAAGACUCUUUUGGAAAACAGGUUAUGCUAGAUAUAUUUUACUCAUAUUUUAUAUCAGAAGGAAAAACAUAUUUCCAAAACACUUGAUUAACUUUUCAUAAGAUCUAAACCCAAAUCAUAGCACCCUUGAGAUAGAGAAAAAAAAAAAAAAAAAAGGUAAUCCUUUCCAGGAAAACAUUUACUGAAUAUGUACCACUGCUCAGGGUUUUCUUCUGUGUAAAUUUAAAUGGGUACAACCCAGAACUUAAUUCAAGUUUGUUUAUUUUUUUUAAAGGAGUUGAACAUUGAAGGGUGAGUAAUGUUUCUGACCUAGAAAGGGAAAGUCAACUGCAGUUCACUAUGAAUAAAGAACACUCUGUGAAAAGUAUUCAAAUGCAAACUAUCUGAAUAUAACCUAGGCAAAAUUAUCCUCAGCUAUAGUUGUGGGUUUUUUUUGGUGAGCUGUUUUUGUGGUUUUAUUUGUUGGCUGGUUUUGGUAGCCCACUCUCUGGUUGAUGUCCUUACUAUCUGUAGUUACUGUGAGAGACAGAGCGUGGCGUAGCUCAAGCAGAAGGCAAAAUAUCUUCUCCAAAGAGUAGAUUUGCUUUUUGUUCAUUACAGCUCCAGGAUUCCUAUGACCUUCAAGAUCAUAAAGUAGUUGAAAUAAGAAAAUUGUCAAUAGCUAUGUAAUCCAUACCAGAGAAAGCAGAACUACAGACAUUUCAUGGCAAUCAGUUGCUGUAUAUUAUCAAAGGCAGGUGUUUCAUUUUCUCUGCUCUGCUGCAACUUUUGAUUGCUCUAUCAGGUAUUUAUUUUUCUUUUUUUUUUCCCCUGCUUUGUUCCUUUGAGGGGUUCUAGCAAGAAGGGUGGGACUCAGAAUAGGAGAACAGAUGCUUUCAACCUUCUCUGCUCUGAGGAGCUUCAGAGCCUUGGGUGGACUGGUUGUUCAAGCAGAAUGAAUAGAACUUGAUUUAAUAUUCUGUAUUCUAUGUGGACGUUGGAAAAAAUUUUGACUCCUUCUCCCUAUACAUCUUUCAAGUCACUUGAUUCACGCUUUAAUAUUUUUUCUUCUAAAAAGUCCUAAAAUUUCCUAUGUAGGAAUUUGAGUUGAUAGCAAGAAAUGAGAUCCUGUAAGUCAGUGUAGGUGGCUCAGUAAAUCAGUUUAGCAGAGUGACCAACAGAGCUAAAUUCCACUCAUAAUGAUAUGAUUUUUAAUGUGACUCCUGUGGACAAGGGAUCCAUCUUUAGACAGGUAUAUAUGGAAAUACCUCCCUUCUCUUCCCCCCACAAAAACCCCAAACCAACAAACAUCUCCACACUACCACACCAUUACCUAGUGUUGACUGAAAAAACAGCUUUAUAAACCAAUAUAUGAAUUAAUUGCUAGCAGAAAUUCUGAACAAUAAAAAUAAAAACAUGUAAAGGGAUUUUUAAAGUAAUUAUCUUGAAAAAUAUUAAUUUGACAGAAUUAAUAAAAUUCUUACUUGUGAUAUUAGACCAUAAACAAGAAAGUAAUAUAUUUAUGGCAAGGAUCAAGAUGACAUAUUUCAUCUAAGAAAUUGGUGAAAUACAUACAAUUCAGAACAGUAAAAUUCUUAGUUCUAUGGAGUGUGUCUGACAGCAAGAUUUUAAAAAGAUCUAAAUGUUUGACCUUUUUUUAAUAAGUAGACUAUUUCAAAUGAGCACAUCUGGUUUAUGUUCCUAAACCUCUAGCCUUUAAAAGUUCUGUUCCCAAUUCACACAAAAUACCAUUCAGCAUUGCUUGACAUGGUGACCUUCCCUGUAGGUGGCUGGCUGAAUAAACCGAUUAAAUAGAUUCAGGAAUUUAGCAUAUAUACAGCAAGUUAACACUUGUAUCCUGGAACCAUUAGUAAACAUACUUACUGCUUCUCCAUGCUUUCUGUUAGAGAUAUGGAAUUGAACUGGGAAUUUUAAAAAUCUACUCUAUAUAAAUAAAGAAAGCAUUUCCUAAUUUUCAUGUCAAAGAAGUUUUCAUUAUGCUGUCACAUUUUCUUAGCUAUAAAGCAACACAAAUCAGGAAAAGUCAAGUAAUUACAACAUUAAAUGUUAUUAUGAUUUCAUGCAGAUUGAGACAGUGAAGGGUGGACAGAAUAGGUACAAAAAUACAAGUGGUCAGUAAAUCUUUAACAAACACUUUUGUUAGUUAAAAAUUAAAUAGCGUAUGGACUGGGAAGGUUUUAUUUUUUCCCCAUAACUUUAAUAGCAGGUUCAUUGUUAUUUGUGUAGAGUGUAAUUCUUUUUGACUUUGCCUUCCAUUUGCCUUGAGGACAAGCCAGUUUAAAACUGUUCAGCACACUGCACCAUGCAUAACAGGUAAUCUGUCUAAUUAAGGCCUGCAAGGAUGUUCAAAGUAAAAUAUUGAAGAGCUUCCAUAACCUCACUUUCACCCUCCCUGUGUACCACAGCUUCUGAGACUCAGAGAUACCCUAGCCAUUAACUCAAGUGUUUACACUCUAAACUCAAAUUCUUCUUUGCCAGAAUGGUUCAUUUCACAUUUUACAAGCCUGUUUUCUCAUUUACAGGCAGAAAGCAAUUUAUCAAAUUUUUAUAUUACAUUUCUCAGCUUGUUUCAAUAUUGGAUGAUAUAAUAUAUGCCUGGAAAUUCAAAAUGCAAAGGCAUACUGUGACUUUAUCCAGGGACCUAAUAAGAUUUAUAUCCACCCUUUUUUUGUGUGUGUGUUCAUUUGAUGCAUUUCAAUGAAUUAUUAAUUAUGACCAACAAUAAAAUAUUAUCUUGGUCUGAUGCACAGCAAAAGGAAAGAUACCCAAGAGAAAACCAUCUGACAGCUCAAAGUAGACACGGCCAAAGGAUGCUCACAAGUUUCUCAUCAAGAACUGCAUGACAUGCAUCUGCCCAUCAAAUGAACCAGACUGACUGAGCCUUUCUCAACAUACAGAUGUAAUCUUUGGGGAGCUUAAGGGAUUAUUGCUAAAUUAAUACUCUCCAGUGAUAACUGGAGACACUUACAGAUUUUGGGAGUUGUUAUGGGCUUCCUGUGUGGCAGGA